rnacentral:rRNA from 1 species
AGAGUUUGAUCCUGGCUCAGAGCGAACGCUGGCGGCAGGCCUAACACAUGCAAGUCGAACGGACCCUUCGGGGUUAGUGGCGGACGGGUGAGUAACACGUGGGAACGUGCCUUUAGGCUCGGAAUAGCCCCUGGAAACGGGUGGUAAUGCCGAAUGUGCCCUUCGGGGGAAAGAUUUAUCGCCUUUAGAGCGGCCCGCGUCUGAUUAGCUAGUUGGUGAGGUAAUGGCUCACCAAGGCGACGAUCAGUAGCUGGUCUGAGAGGAUGACCAGCCACAUUGGGACUGAGACACGGCCCAAACUCCUACGGGAGGCAGCAGUGGGGAAUCUUGCGCAAUGGGCGAAAGCCUGACGCAGCCAUGCCGCGUGAAUGAUGAAGGUCUUAGGAUUGUAAAAUUCUUUCACCGGGGACGAUAAUGACGGUACCCGGAGAAGAAGCCCCGGCUAACUUCGUGCCAGCAGCCGCGGUAAUACGAAGGGGGCUAGCGUUGCUCGGAAUUACUGGGCGUAAAGGGCGCGUAGGGCGGGACAUUUAAGUCAGGGGUGAAAUCCCAGAGCUCAACUCUGGAACUGCCUUUGAUACUGGGUGUCUUGAGUGUGAGAGAGGUAUGUGGAACUCCGAGUGUAGAGGUGAAAUUCGUAGAUAUUCGGAAGAACACCAGUGGCGAAGGCGACAUACUGGCUCAUUACUGACGCUGAGGCGCGAAAGCGUGGGGAGCAAACAGGAUUAGAUACCCUGGUAGUCCACGCCGUAAACGAUGAUUGCUAGUUGUCGGGCUGCAUGCAGUUCGGUGACGCAGCU